GGGCCCAUAGCUCAACGGCAGAGCCGUCGGCUCAUAACCGAUCCGAUCCAGGUUCGAAUCCUGGUGGGCCUA
rnacentral:tRNA from 1 species